CCAGCUGUGGGAUCCCCAGUGGGGUGAGUCCGUUGCUUUGCUUGGCUGUUGGAGCUGAACCCACUUUUGUUUCCUAAAGGAGUAGCCUUUUAGUUUUAAUUGAAAAAGCAAGCACCGUACUUCUGUCAAGCAAAAAGGUAUUUUUCCCUCUCCACCCUGGUCUUCUCCUGUAACGUGUGGCCGCCUUUUCCAGCACGGCCUCCUGCCUUCCUGGUGCACUUUUUGGAGAACGUGGUGGAAUCAGAGGUUUCUGGCUGACUCGGUGG
rnacentral:lncRNA from 1 species